UACGAAGGGGGCUAGCGUUGCUCGGAAUCACUGGGCGUAAAGCGCACGUAGGCGGAUUGCUAAGUCAGGGGUGAAAUCCUGGAGCUCAACUCCAGAACUGCCUUUGAUACUGGCAAUCUCGAGUCCGGGAGAGGUGAGUGGGACUGCGAGUGUAGAGGUGAAAUUCGUAGAUAUUCGCAAGAACACCAGCGGCGAAGGCGGCUCACUGGCCCGAUACUGACGCUGAGGCACGAAAGCGUGGGGAGCAAACAGG
rnacentral:rRNA from 1 species